CAGACCACGAAGGACACAGCCUCUGAGAGGAGUCCCUCCACCCCCAACCACCCUGGGCAUCAUCAGCCAGCCCGAGGCUCACCCAAUCUGUCGGCCACGGAUCCACGGCAGGAAGAAGACGAGUGUCCCAAAGACAGUCAACUGUGGAUGACACCACUCCAACCACAGCUUCUGGGGAUCAGGCUCCGCUGCCCAGGGUGGAGACGAGUUCUUAGUCAUCAGUGCCCAGGAGUUGUUGUCAAACAGUGUCUCCAAAUGCUCCGACAUGGACAACUGGGGCCGAGGCAGUGGCAGCCUUGGGGUUCACACUGAAGAAAGGAUACAGAGAAGGGAGAGACAGCAGCAAGGAAACUACCAGAUGCCCCCGACCCCACAAAGAAAGAGAUAAAGUGAGACCUGAGACCUGAUGGGACUAGAGGCGAGAUGAAGGCAGAAAGAGACCGGGAGGAAGGACAAGCCAAGCCCAGAUGGGCCUUGCUGGCCUAGACAAUGAAGCAAGUAUGCAGGAGAUGGAGAGGAGGGGGCGCAGGGCUCAGAGAGGGGCUAUGGGUUGGAGGGACACAGGGAGAUUCAUUUUCACAGAAGUGGAGCUGUGACUGCUUGACCUGACAGGGGGCUUCAUGUGAGAUCAGAUAGGUAGCGCUUUGGAGGGUUCGUGGAAAGAGGGGUUCUGUGAAAGGGGUGGGACUUUAGGAAGAUCAAAAGUGGGGUGGUCCCUGAGGGGGUCCAGCCCACCUGGUAGCCAGCAGUUUGGAGGUGAACCCAUUGGCCUUGAGGAAAAAUAAGAAAGUCCGCUGGCUGUAGUUGUACCCGCAGCUCAGGGUGCCACAGAUGGCCCUGGAAGUGGAGGUGUUGGUGAGGCCACGGCCACCUCAGGUUGAAAGUAGCUUUCAGGGCUUGAGGCCCCACUCACCCCAGGGCCACAAAAAAGAAGAUCUCUGGUAAGUCAAAGGGUAUGUCCACUGGAAAGCUGGUCUUGUAGAUGGAGGUGAUGGUCUCUGAGGAAGGAAGAAAGUGGGGAUCCUGUGCCAGCCUUCCACACCCUAACCCAGUCUUAGAUAACUCGGGCAAGGAUGGGGGUGGUUUCUGACCUAACCCCAAAUUUCCCUGGAAUUCUAGGCACCGCAGAGGUUCUCAACCUGAGGAUUUUGACCCCUUUGGGGGUCACAUAUCAGAUACCCUGCAUCGCAGAUAUUUACAUUUUGAUUCAUAUCAGUCACCAAGUUACAGGCUGGGGAAAUGGCUCAGCGGUUAAGAGCACUGACUGCUUUUUCAGAGGUCCUGAGUUCAAUUCCCAGCAACCACAUGGUGGCUCACAACCAUCUGUAAUGAGAUCCGAUGCCCUCUUCUGGUGUGUCUGAAGAGUACAAUGUACUCAUAUACAUAAAUAAAUCUUUUUUUAAAA
ensembl:antisense uncharacterized LOC110292728